rnacentral:rRNA from 1 species
UUGCCUGCCCAGUGACUCUGUUCAACGGCCGCGGUACCCUAACCGUGCGAAGGUAGCGUAAUCACUUGUUUUCUAAAUAAAGACCAGUAUGAAAGGCGUCACGAGGGUUAAACUGUCUCCUCUUUCUAAUCAGUGAACCUAAUCUUCCCGUGAAGAAGCGGGAAUUACCCCAUAAGACGAGAAGACCCUGUGGAGCUUAAAACAUCAUAACACUGCUAACAAAUACCAAUAUUCAGAUACCCCCUCCCUCAAAGCACGAUGAUUAUAAGUUUUUGGUUGGGGUGACCGCGGAGAAAAAUUAAACCUCCACUAUGAAAAGAGCCCUCCUUAACAAUAAGCUACAACCUUAUGUAUCAACAAAUUGACAUUAUUGACCCAACAAAUUGAUCAACGAACCAAGUUACCCCAGGGAUAACAGCGCAAUCCACUUUGAGAGCUCUUAUCGACAAGUGGGCUUACGACCUCGAUGUUGGAUCGGGAUAUCCUAGUGGUGCAGCCGCUACUUAAGGUUCGUUUGUUCAACGAUUAAAAUCCCACGUGAUC